rnacentral:piRNA from 1 species
UAUAUGAGUCAGUGUUGUGCC